CGAUUCCAUAACUCUAUGAUUCUGUGAGUCAAGUCCCAUUCUGAGCACCAACACUGCUGGUCUCCUGAGAGCAGAAGUGGCAUUAGGAGACACACAUCUGGAAGCAGAAUACCACGUUAUGUCCUGAUACAGCUGCCCUCAAACUUCCUGCUCGAACCAACCUGAGGCGAGCAGAAAUCUUCCACAUAGCAAUCAUUGCCACUAAAUACACACCCUUGUGAAAACUGGCUUGUGAAAAAGCACAGCAUGGUGGGUACGGUCGGAUGGCAGAGCUACAACAACAGUUUGGGUGCUUGGGGCUGUUCCCACCACCCCAACAGCAACAUCAUCCUCUCCCUUCCAUGCUGCUAAUUGGAAAGGACCCUGGAGCUUGAGGCCCUGGCACAGCAAUAGGCCGAGGCUGACCAGCAGACGUGUCCCUUCAGUGGUUGCCCUAAGAUAUCAGCUCAUCUCUGCCACCACCCUGAAAUCCAGAAGAUGGUUCCUCUGAGGCUGUAUCAACAGGUCCAUCAAACGUGGACACCAAAGGGACACCUCAGAAGGGCACCAGGGAUGCUCUGUAUGUCAACCAGGCAUUAGAGGAUUGCUUUGAACCUACAGAGGAGUGAGGCAGUCUCCCAAGAGGAACAGAUAGGAUGAGAAAUUGACCCAUUCUAGAGAUGGACUCCGAGCUGUUUAUGGCAUG
rnacentral:lncRNA from 1 species